rnacentral:rRNA from 1 species
AUUGAACGCUGGCGGCAGGCUUAACACAUGCAAGUCGAGCGGGGUUUUCGGACCUAGCGGCGGACGGGUGAGUAAUGCGUAGGAAGCUACCCGAUAGAGGGGGAUACCAGUUGGAAACGACUGUUAAUACCGCAUAAUGUCUACGGACCAAAGUGUGGGACCUUCGGGCCACAUGCUAUCGGAUGCGCCUACGUGGGAUUAGCUAGUUGGUGAGGUAAUGGCACACCAAGGCGACGAUCCCUAGCUGGGUUGAGAGGAUGAUCAGCCACACUGGAACUGAGACACGGUCCAGACUCCUACGGGAGGCAGCAGUGGGGAAUAUUGGACAAUGGGCGCAAGCCUGAUCCAGCCAUGCCGCGUGUGUGAAGAAGGCCUUCGGGUUGUAAAGCACUUUCAGUAGGGAGGAAGCGUUGUGUGUUAAUAGUACACAGCGUUGACGUUACCUACAGAAGAAGCACCGGCUAACUCUGUGCCAGCCGCCGCGGUAAAAC